rnacentral:rRNA from 1 species
CCUACGGGAGGCUGCAGUGGGGAAUAUUGCACAAUGGGCGCAAGCCUGAUGCAGCCAUGCCGCGUGUGUGAAGAAGGCCUUCGGGUUGUGAAGCACUUUCAGCGGGGAGGAAGGCGUUAAGGUUAAUAACCUUGUCGAUUGACGUUACCCGCAGAAGAAGCACCGGCUAACUCCGUGCCAGCAGCCGCGGUAAUACGGAGGGUGCAAGCGUUAAUCGGAAUUACUGGGCGUAAAGCGCACGCAGGCGGUCUGUCAAGUCGGAUGUGAAAUCCCCGGGCUCAACCUGGGAACUGCAUUCGAAACUGGCAGGCUAGAGUCUUGUAGAGGGGGGUAGAAUUCCAGGUGUAGCGGUGAAAUGCGUAGAGAUCUGGAGGAAUACCGGUGGCGAAGGCGGCCCCCUGGACAAAGACUGACGCUCAGGUGCGAAAGCGUGGGGAGCAAACAGGAUUAGAUACCCCGGUAGUC